UACGAGGGGGGCAAGCGUUGUUCGGAAUUAUUGGGCGUAAAGGGCUCGUAGGCGGCCAACUAAGUCAUACGUGAAAUCCCUCGGCUUAACCGGGGAACUGCGUCUGAUACUGGAUGGCUUGAGUUCGGGAGAGGGAUGCGGAAUUCCAGGUGUAGCGGUGAAAUGCGUAGAUAUCUGGAGGAACACCGGUGGCGAAGGCGGCAUCCUGGACCGAUACUGACGCUGAGGAGCGAAAGCCAGGGGAGCAAACGGG
rnacentral:rRNA from 1 species